GACGAACGCUGGCGGCGUGCUUAACACAUGCAAGUCGAACGGAAAGGCCCUGCUUUUGUGGGGUGCUCGAGUGGCGAACGGGUGAGUAACACGUGAGUAACCUGCCCUUGACUUUGGGAUAACUUCAGGAAACUGGGGCUAAUACCGGAUAGGAGCUCCUGCUGCAUGGUGGGGGUUGGAAAGUUUCGGCGGUUGGGGAUGGACUCGCGGCUUAUCAGCUUGUUGGUGGGGUAGUGGCUUACCAAGGCGUUGACGGGUAGCCGGCCUGAGAGGGUGACCGGCCACAUUGGGACUGAGAUACGGCCCAGACUCCUACGGGAGGCAGCAGUGGGGAAUAUUGCACAAUGGGCGGAAGCCUGAUGCAGCAACGCCGCGUGCGGGAUGACGGCCUUCGGGUUGUAAACCGCUUCCGCCUGUGACGAAGCGUGAGUGACGGUAAUGGGUAAAGAAGCACCGGCUAACUACGUG
rnacentral:rRNA from 1 species